UUCUUUCUCUUGCGUUCUCUGCAAUUUUUAUUUUUUAUGCUCAGUUCGAUUAAAGUCGUCGACUUUGGUUACAAGCGUCGAUACCCAGAUGGACUAGUUCAACAUACUUUUGUGGGUAGCUGUCUCUUUCUUUAAAGUUACUAUUUUGAACUUUUGGAGCUUCUGGGUUGUGCACUGCAUGUAUUCGGUAAAAUGCGUGAACGAGAUUUUUAAGUCUCAAAGUCGGCAGUGGGACCAAUAGUUGAAGCCACCGAUGAAAAGUCAUACCUUCACUAAAUAGCGAACAUUUGCAACUCUUCUGGUAAGCUUGUCCUAAGUUAGUUUGUGGCUCUUUAUCAUCCAAAGUUUGUUGCUUUAGAUUUCAUAUCAGGGCAAUAAUUUUGCCAAUCAAUUGGAAAGUCCUUGUGUUGUUUUUUUUGUGAUGGGGUACUGGUUACAGAGAAAGUUGUUGACUUUAGUUAUGGUUAAGGGUCAGAGAUUGGAAUAUUCAAAGUUAUCUGCUGAAAACGAAUCAGUAACUUUCCAUUCUCUUUCCAUUCGUCUUGCACAUUCUGAAUUGACUGGCAGCAAGCGAAUAAAGAUUAUCACUAUCAGCAUUCUCAGCCUCUCUGUUUGCUUGAUUUUGGUGCUUGUUGCAUAGGGUUGUUGGAGAUACAGAUUAAAACAAAAUGGUUCAAGUCUUGGAGCUAAAGUUAAUGUAGAAGGCGCUUGGACGAGUGAUUUGCAAUCACAAGAUGUCUCAGGUUUAAAUUUCUUUGAAAUUCAGGACCUACAAACCGCCACGAAUAAUUUUGGUGUGUUAAAUAGACUCGCUCAGGGUGGUUUUGGUACAGUUUAUAAGGGGAAGCUUCAGGAAGGAAAGGAAAUAGCUGUAAAACGUCUUUCUAGCAGCUCUGUACAGGGAACAGAUGAGUUCAUGAAAGAGAUGCUUCGGCUUUUGGGAUGCUGCAUCGAUGGGAAAGAAAAGCUAUUGGUCUAUGAAUACAUGGUGAACAAAAGCCUUGAUAUAUUUAUACUCUAUUUGAAGACAAAAACUUGAGAUUGAUUGGCCUACGAAAUUCAAUAUCAUACAAGGAAUUGCUCGUGGACUUCUCUAUCUCCACCGUGACUCGUUCCUCAGAGUUGUACACCAGGAUCUGAAGGUCAGCAAUAUUCUUUUGGAUGAGAAUAUGAACCCAAAAAUAUCAGAUUUUGGAUUAGCUCGGAUGUCUCAUGGAAGUCAACAUCAAGUCAGCACUGGCAGUGUCGUAGGCGCUAUAGGGUACCUGUCUCCCGAGUAUGCUUGGACCGGGAAAUUUUCUGAGAAAUCCGAUAUAUACAGCUUCGUAGUUCUAAUGCUAGAAAUCAUCACCGGGAAGGAGAUUUCGAGCUUCCGCUAUGGCAAAGAUAGCUAAAACCUUCUUUCAUAGAACAUAUCUAUCUUAAACACUUGCAUGGGUCAUAGAUUUAUUCUUAACUCUUACGUUUUUCGCGGAUUUGUUGUAACAGGCAUGGGACUCUUGGAGUGAAACCGGGGAGUGAACCUACUGGAUGAAGAUCAUGCUGCUUCUGAUUCAGUUUAUUCAGCUGAAACAGGAAGAUGUGUUCAUAAUGGUCUGCUAUGUGUUCAGCAUCAAGCUAUUGAUAGACCAAACAUCAAACAAGUAAUGUCAUUAAUGCUGACUUCAACAACGGAUCUUCCUAAGCCAACAGAACCAAUGAUUGUAACGUACAUAAGCGAUGAGGAUUCUUCUUUGUCUCAACGAUCUAUAAUGAUCUAAUUUUUAGGCCACAAACUACAUUGUAUACGCAUAAAACGGACAUAAAUUAUUCGAUUCAUUUGUAAAAUAUUACAAGAAAUGACAAAAAGAUGUUUUUGGUA